AUGUCGACUGCAGGUGAUCUUCGAUCUUCGCUUCAAGUUCCUAGAUCGGACGUAACGUCAUCGUCGAAAUCCUUGAUACUUUAUCCAGUCAUAUUUUAGUUGGCGGAUGUUAUUAAUAACUCCGUUCCAAGGAACUAGACAUGGCAACCCUGUUAGUAAGAAUUAUUUCAUGUCAAAAAUGGCCGAGUAUCCAGACUCGGAGUUAAAGAAACUGGAGCGCAGCUUCGAGAUCAGUGACAUUUAUUAAAAGGUCUUUCGUUUGUCAUGGCUGGACAGAUGGGCAAAAGUAAAAUUGAAGAAUUAAUCGAGUACAUGGAAAAAGAUGUUUAUGGAGCCCAGGUUGUGAUAUAUGGGUUAUCUGGUAUCGGCCUGAUAACAGCUGUAUACAGAAUUCGACCGAUUUCCAAGUUCACUAGACCAUCCCAAAUACCAGAUCGGUUUAUCAAGUCUCGGGUACCUCUUAGAGGUACGGUAAAGGGCAUAGAACCGUUCGGUGGACCAUUCAUCAUGGUCGAUCAUAAACCGUUGAUAAAUAUUCCUAGAUUGCGACAGCAGGACUGUCUACCCAUAAAACUUGCUAACGUCGAUGUGACAAAUAAUGGUAUAAGUUGGUUAAAAACUGUUAUCGGUGGAAAGGAAAUUACAUUUAUACCAUUGUCCAAAAGAAAGAAUUAUGUGGAUUGUAUUAUUACCAUGCCGGAGAAAAAUAAGGAGCAGUUACAGAUUGCGAAGGAACUGGUUAAAGUAGGUUUUGGUACUGUACAUAAAAAAAAUGAUUUAAUAAUGACCGAGAACGUCCUAGAAUAUUACAAAUCAUUGGUCGCUGCACAAAAAUUGGCACAACGCAGGAGAAAUGGAGAAUGGCAACAAAAACUACCACCCACGCUUCUAUGGAAACUAUAUAUUAUUACUGAAGAAAAACUACGGUCUUUACUACCCAGCUUCGCAAUCAAGAUGCUUAAUAUCUAAUGGUUUGUUACGAUUUAUAUUACUAUCAAUAACUUACAAUUCAUUCAUAGCUGCUAUUCUUUUCAGAUAUCUCAAAAUAAAUACAAUGAUUGAAACAGAUUCCCAAUUGUAGCACAUGUACUUAAAUGUACAGUGAUGAUUGCGUGGGUGCAGAAAGUACAAAUUGAAAUAUUCUGUUCUUCUAUUGCACAAUUUGCUAAGCCAAUAGUGAAUGCAAAUUGUAUGCAAACUGUUUCCUGAAAACAUUAAACAUACAGUUGCUGCAUGUAAUGAUUAUCGAUAAUUUACAUUAAGCUUAUACUGUAUAUAUUCCAAAUAUCGUUCCUGCUUAGAUUAAUUGUAUAAAAAAGUACAGAUCACAAUGACUAAAAGAGUAGAUAUUUUUUAGGACUUCCUAGUCCAUAACAGUAUUAUUUACGAGUUUAAAUGACGGGUUAUUCAUGUUCUGGCUGUUAUAAGAAGCGCACCUGUAGGAGAUUCACUUACCAGUCGACAUUCACAAAAACUCAAAAAUAAUUCAAAAUAAAGUAUAUGAAGAUUUUAAUUCCACAGUACAUCUGCAUGUGAAAUUCCUUGGAAUAAUAAUCAUGGAAUGUUUUGUAUUAAGACUAAAGUCCUUUGUGAGAGAUAUUGUCACACUGUCAUUGAAACUGUACGUUCCUGUAUCUUGAAAUUGGAAUAUAUUUUUCAUAUAUGUGAAUCA